rnacentral:misc_RNA from 1 species
ACUGGGGCCCAUGAUGCUUGA